UUCGAAGGGUGCUAGCGUUGUUCGGAAUCACUGGGCGUAAAGCGCGCGUAGGCGGCUAUUCAAGUCAGGGGUGAAAUCCUGAGGCUCAACCUCAGAAUUGCCUUUGAAACUGUGUAGCUAGAGUGUCGGAGGGGAUAGCGGAAUUGCUAAUGUAGAGGUGAAAUUCGUAGAUAUUAGCAGGAACACCGGUGGCGAAGGCGGCUAUCUGGACGACAACUGACGCUUAGGCGCGAAAGCGUGGGGAUCAAACAGG
rnacentral:rRNA from 1 species